UACGUAGGGUGCGAGCGUUAAUCGGAAUUACUGGGCGUAAAGCGUGCGCAGGCGGUUUUGUAAGCCAGAUGUGAAAUCCCCGGGCUCAACCUGGGAAUGGCAUUUGGGACUGCAAGGCUGGAGUGCGGCAGAGGAGACUGGAAUUCCUGGUGUAGCAGUGAAAUGCGUAGAUAUCAGGAGGAAUACCGAUGGCGAAGGCAGGUCUCUGGGCUGACACUGACGCUCAUGCACGAAAGCGU
rnacentral:rRNA from 1 species